GAGCGUUGUCCGGAUUUACUGGGCGUAAAGCGCGUGUAGGCGGCCCGUUAAGUGGGGUGUGAAAGCCCGGGGCUCAACCCCGGGACGCCGCUUCAAACUGGCGGGCUUGAGGACGGAAGAGGGGAGUGGAAUUCCUGGUGUAGCGGUGAAAUGCGUAGAGAUCAGGAGGAACACCCGUGGCGAAGGCGGCUCCCUGGUCCGUCCCUGACGCUGAGACGCGAAAGCGCGGGGAGCGAACGGG
rnacentral:rRNA from 1 species